rnacentral:rRNA from 1 species
CCUACGGGGGGCAGCAGUGAGGAAUAUUGGUCAAUGGACGAGAGUCUGAACCAGCCAAGUAGCGUGAAGGAUGACUGCCCUAUGGGUUGUAAACUUCUUUUAUCUGGGAAUAAAAUGUUCCACGUGUGGGAUUUUGUAUGUACCAUAUGAAUAAGGAUCGGCUAACUCCGUGCCAGCAGCCGCGGUAAUACGGAGGAUCCGAGCGUUAUCCGGAUUUAUUGGGUUUAAAGGGAGCGUAGGUGGAUUGUUAAGUCAGUUGUGAAAGUUUGGGGCUCAACCGUAAAAUUGCAGUUGAAACUGGCAGUCUUGAGUACAGUAGAGGUGGGCGGAAUUCGUGGUGUAGCGGUGAAAUGCUUAGAUAUCACGAAGAACUCCGAUUGCGAAGGCAGUUCACUGGACUGCAACUGACACUGAGGCUCGAAAGUGUGGGUAUCAAACAGGAUUAGAUACCCCGGUAGUC